GGGUGAUUAGUCUAGGGGUAUGAUUCUCGCUUUGGGUGCGAGAGGUCCCGGGUUCAAAUCCCGGAUCACCCCC
rnacentral:tRNA from 1 species